rfam:Myceliophthora thermophila ATCC 42464 chromosome 4, complete sequence.
UCUUCCGUAGUAUAGUGGAUAGUAUGUGAGCUUGUCAAGGUGGGGUGUUCCCCCGUCAAGCAACGCUCGAGACCCGGGUUCAAUUCCCGGCGGGAGAG